rnacentral:tRNA from 1 species
UUAAUUGAAGCCAAACCAGAGGCCCCCAUUGUUAAUGGGACCAUUGAUUAAUUAAUUUAAUCCAAUUAAA